CAAUAGCGUAUAUUUAAGUUGUUGCAGUUGAAAAGCUCGUAGUCGGAUUUUGGCUGAGAACGAUCGGUCCGCCGUUAGGUGUGCACUGAUUGGUCUCAGCUUCCUGGUGAGGAGGUGUGCUUCACGGCCACUUAGUCACCGUGGUUACUUUGAAAAAAUUAGAGUGUUCAAAGCGGGCUUACGCUUGAAUAUAUUAGCAUGGAAUAACACCAUAGGACUCCUGUCCUAUUUCGUUGGUCUCGGGACGGGAGUAAUGAUUAAGAGGAACAGUUGGGGACAUUCGUAUUUCAUUGUCAGAGGUGAAAUUCUUGGAUUUAUGAAAGACGAGCUUCUGCGAAAGCAUUUGCCAAGGAUGUUUUCAUUGA
rnacentral:rRNA from 1 species